GGGGAAUAUUGCGCAAUGGGGGGAACCCUGACGCAGCAACGCCGCGUGAAGGAUGAAGGUCUUCGGAUUGUAAACUUCUUUGAUGAGGGACGAAAGCAAUGACGGUACCUCAAAAACAAGCCACGGCUAACUACGUGCCAGCAGCCGCGGUAAUACGUAGGUGGCGAGCGUUGUCCGGAAUUACUGGGUGUAAAGGGCGUGUAGGCGGGGAUAUAAGUCAGAUGUGAAAUACCAUGGCUCAACUGUGGGGCUGCAUCUGAAACUAUGUUUCUUGAGUGCUGGAGAGGAAAGCGGAAUUCCUAGUGUAGCGGUGAAAUGCGUAGAGAUUAGGAGGAACACCAGUGGCGAAGGCGGCUUUCUGGACAGUAACUGACGCUGAGGCGCGAAAGCGUGGGUAGCGAAC
rnacentral:rRNA from 1 species